UACGAAGGGGGGCUAGCGUUGUUCGGAUUUACUGGGCGUAAAGCGCACGUAGGCGGAUUGUUAAGUCAGGGGUGAAAUCCUGGAGCUCAACUCCAGAACUGCCUUUGAUACUGGCAAUCUAGAGUCCGGAAGAGGUGAGUGGAACUCCUAGUGUAGAGGUGGAAUUCGUAGAUAUUAGGAAGAACACCAGUGGCGAAAGGCGGCUCACUGGUCCGGUACUGACGCUGAGGCGCGAAAGCGUGGGGAGCAAACAGG
rnacentral:rRNA from 1 species